rnacentral:lncRNA from 1 species
CAGGGCAGAGCGACGCGGCUCAAGGCACGCCGGGAAUUGUAGUCCAUGAAUGGUCCUACCCUCUACUCUUUCCCUGAGAUUUCGCCCUCCCAACGUGACCGGAGACGCUCAGUUCACGGAUGCAGUUGGUACUCCCAAGCUAGUUUGAUGUGGCGCGCUGGAUCCGGGAAGAGAACGGACUACAGCUCCCAGGAUCCCCUUAAGAUGGGCUUUGGGCUCCGGUAACUGACCAAGACCAGGAAGAUAAAAACAAUGUCAGAGGCCAACUGGAGACAGGAUUUGCUUUGGGCAAAGCGUUCCACUUGCUGAAGGUUCAAGAGUUGGCAAGUCCUGUGGCCACUCCCUCCACACCCCCACCAUCAGAAGUAUAGUGAGGAGUCUGCUAGAGGAUGCCAACUUCUGGGAUUAUCCUCUAGGCAUAGUGGUGGGCCCAUACAGAAAAUUCUUGGACAGCUUUUCCUGGAAUGUUUCUACUAACAACCCAUCUCAAACAUGAGAUCCCUUUACAGCAGAUCCCAAAUGCAGAGCUGUCUGCCUGGGGCUCAGUUCCCUCAGAAUCUUCCACUGGGGGUUGAAUGGACAACGCUUACCUGGGAGAUACACCGAGGAGCUGCCAGGCUUUGGUGCGCUGUGCUCCUGGUUUAUUUCUAGCCUUUCCUAGGCAGAGGCGCCUUUUUGGUGUCAAUUAAAUUCCCAUGGCUAGAACCUACUGGCUGUGUGGCUGAGGACCCCAGCCCAUCUCAUUUACACCAUGACUGGCUUCCCAAGGGACUGCUACCAUCACAGUUCUGGUCACUGAAGCUCUUUCACUUGGCCCCAGUGUCCUUUGGCGAAGCUCCACCCAUCACUGUGUAGUGUCUGUGGGAAUUUCCAUUAUCAGUUGUUCCUGGAGUGUUAAUGUACCCAUGGUAUCUCUGUGCUUACAGGCUGGCCUGAUAUUCAACUGGGGCUGAGCUUAAUGCCCGAACUCCACAUGGUAGGAAGAGAGAGUCAGUGUCCACAACCUGUUCUCUUUACUUUCACACAUGUACAAACACAUAAACAUUCACAAAUAAAUGAACGCAAUUUUAAAAUUAAAACAGAAAUUUUAAGCAUCUUUUCAUGUGAGUAUCCCUUCUUUUCUUUCUGUCUU